rnacentral:rRNA from 1 species
AUACGUAGGGGGCGAGCGUUGUCCGGAAUGAUUGGGCGUAAAGGGUGCGUAGGCGGUUUGCUAAGCGGGAGGUGAAAUGCCGGCGCUCAACGUCGGAAGUGCCUCCCGAACUGGUGGACUGGAAUGACUCUGCCGUGGGAGGAAUGUGUAGUGUAGCGGUGAAAUGCUUAGAGAUUACACAGAACACCGAUUGCGAAGGCAUCUCACGAAGGGUUGAUUGACGCUGAGGCACGAAAGCGUGGGGAUCAAACAGGAUUAGAUACCCUGGUAGUCCACGCAGUAAACGAUGAUGGCUAACCGCUGGUUUAUUCGGAUCAGUGGCCAAGCGAAAGCGAUAAGCCAUCCACCUGGGGAGUACGACCGCAAGGUUGAAACUCAAAUGAAUUGGCGGGG